rnacentral:lncRNA from 1 species
UGGAACGAGAGGUUGGGUUCGUCCCCUUUCUUCAACCGUAGCACCGCCAACGCAGAGUUUACUGAAGAGGUCUCCUUCAGUAAAGUUGGGGUGGCCCACGGGUAGAGUUUCUUGUAGUCUGGUGUGGGAAUGGAGGCUCCUCCGGCGACUGGUGGAGUUGCCUGAGCGAGGUUGGGACGAGAGGUUGCAGGCCUCUCAGCCUGGGAAGAAGGAGCACCAGAUGCUCGUGGUAGGUUAUGCGCUUGGGAUGGAGGGUUUCGUGAUGAAGGAGGAGGAUUCGCG